rnacentral:lncRNA from 1 species
CUCCUGACCUCAGGUGAUCUGCCUGGCUCAGUCUCCCAGAGUGCUGUGAUUACAGGCGUGAGCCACCACGCCCAGCCUUUUUCUAGAUUUUUGAGUUAAAUACUCAGUUCAGUUAUUUUUCAAUCUUGUUUUCUUCUUUUUCUUUUUCUUUUUUUUUUUAGAGACAGAGUUUUGCUCUAUUGCCCCAGCUGGAGGGUAGUGGCACGACCUUGCUCACUGCAGCUCACUGCAACCUGCAGCCUCCACCUUCUGGCUUCAAGUGAUUCUUGAGCCUCAGCCUGCUGAGUAGUUGGGACUACAGGCGUGUGCCACCAUGCCCAGCUAAUUUUUGUUAUUUUUAGUAGAAACGGGAUUUUGCCAUGUUGGCCAAGCUGGUCUCGAACUCCUGGCCUCAAGUGAUCCACCCACCUCGGCGUCCCAAAGUGCUGGGAUUACAGGUAUAAGCCACCAUGCCUGGCCAAUCAUGUUUUCUGAUAAAAAUAUUUUGAGGAAUGGUAUGUAACCUCCAAAGGUGCCAGCUUUGAAAGAUAACAGUCAUUUGAAUGUUCUUGUUUUUAGUUUUAGAAAAUAAUUUUUAUGGCUGAGGCCGGCAGAUCACGAGGUGAUCACGAGGUGAUUUAGUGAAACCCCGUCUCUACUACAAAUACA